rnacentral:rRNA from 1 species
AUUGAACGCUGGCGGCAUGCCUUACACAUGCAAGUCGAACGGUAACGGGCCUUCGGGUGCCGACGAGUGGCGAACGGGUGAGUAAUACAUCGGAACGUGCCCGAUCGUGGGGGAUAACGAGGCGAAAGCUUUGCUAAUACCGCAUACGAUCUACGGAUGAAAGCAGGGGACCGCAAGGCCUUGCGCGGACGGAGCGGCCGAUGGCAGAUUAGGUAGUUGGUGGGAUAAAAGCUUACCAAGCCGACGAUCUGUAGCUGGUCUGAGAGGAUGAUCAGCCACACUGGGACUGAGACACGGCCCAGACUCCUACGGGAGGCAGCAGUGGGGAGUUUUGGACAAUGGGCGCAAGCCUGAUCCAGCCAUGCCGCGUGCAGGAUGAAGGCCUUCGGGUUGUAAACUGCUUUUGUACGGAACGAAAAGCCUUCUUUUAAUACAGGAGGGUCAUGACGGUACCGUAAGAAUAAGCACCGGCUAACUACGUG